GGGAAGCGGAUUGAUGACAGCCGACUCCGGCGGCACCAGGCGGCAGCGGCUGCGGGUUAUCCCAGCGGGCGCAGCCUGUACUCCUCUCCUGCCCCUGCGGGAGCUGGAAGCUGAGUGACACCAGCCCGAGGCCUGCAGCGCAGGGCCAGAGACCGCUGGCUGGGCCCAGGUGGUUCAAUUCACGUGGGCUGAACUGCACUGGACUUCUCUGCUGGCUGUCAGGUCUCGCUCAUCUUCUGGAGAGAAUAUUCUGCAACCCCCAGGCUCUUUAACAACACCACUGGUUCCUUAUAAUAGCAGAUUGGAAGAAGUUGUUAGCUUCUUUUCUCAGAACGGACAUGUGGAUUUGGGGCAAGGAAGAAAAGCAAAAGCAAAAGCCCAAACAUUCUAACACAGGAAUGGCGUUCGAAGAUCUGCAACUAUACUACUUGGAAAUGAUCCCCAGGCUAAAGUGACCAGGGAAGUGACCCAAAAAACAAAUUCUUCUUGACUUUUAAGGCAGGUGCAACUGUGGACAGCUGAGGUCCCCUUUGAAAUUAUCUUGCCAUCGUAGGAUGGGCUAGGAUGACUCAACUCUUUAAAUGCAUGUUAAAGACUGGCUACUGUAUUUACUACAUUCUGGCCUCAUUUUUUUUUGGUUAUGAUUUUGAAACUCAGAAUGAACAAUACCACGUGUGUGAUGUUUUGGUCGCAAACAUUAAAGACAGCGAAUAAUUAUAAGCAGCUGUGGAAGUCAACAUCCACUGUUAAACCCAUGAACCAUUCCAAAUUCCUCGGUGAGAUACUCUGAGAUAACAAAGAUUCCAGUGAGCAACUCAAUCAUGACAUCUUUAUUAUACCAUAGAUGAAUAUUUGUUAAAUAAAA
rnacentral:lncRNA from 10 species